AUCACGGAGACCAGUAUUGUUAUUGACAUAAAAAAUUGUGUCAAAUAGUUAGGAAUAUUAGCCCAGCCUAAACUCUGGGCUGGGGAGAAGGGGACCCGAGAUGCCCGCCGUCCUUACGGGUGAAGAUGCUCGCGGCCCGUCGACGGCGCGCGGUGCCCCUUAAUUUGGCGACCGGUUCAUCCAAACAGCUGCUUCUCUCCCCGCCACACCGGGACUCACGUCCAGCCUAUCGACCGCAGACGGGAGAUGGAGGAGGCUAAUAAGAGGAAGAAGCGCAGCCUCAGCAACUCCUCUUUUCCUUUAAUGACCCGCCGGCCAGAGAAACCAGUACACAGCAUCAUCAGCAUCCCGUGAUGACACCAGAGAGGAUGAAGACGCUGUCGUUAAAGGGUGGAAACGGGAGAGUGAGACUAAACCUCGGGCCAGGAGCUGAAGAAGAAGUGAGACAGCAGCUGC